rnacentral:rRNA from 1 species
GGGUAAUCUGCCCUGCACUUCGGGAUAAGCCUGGGAAACUGGGUCUAAUACCGGAUAUGAACUCCUGCCGCAUGGUGGGGGUUGGAAAGUUUUUCGGUGCAGGAUGAGCCCGCGGCCUAUCAGCUUGUUGGUGGGGUAAUGGCCUACCAAGGCGACGACGGGUAGCCGGCCUGAGAGGGUGAUCGGCCACACUGGGACUGAGACACGGCCCAGACUCCUACGGGAGGCAGCAGUGGGGAAUAUUGCACAAUGGGCGAAAGCCUGAUGCAGCGACGCCGCGUGGGGGAUGACGGUCUUCGGAUUGUAAACCCCUUUCAGUAGGGACGAAGCGCAAGUGACGGUACCUGCAGAAGAAGCACCGGCUAACUACGUGCCAGCAGCCGCGGUAAUACGUAGGGUGCGAGCGUUGUCCGGAAUUACUGGGCGUAAAGAGCUCGUAGGCGGUUUGUCACGUCGUCUGUGAAAUCCCUCGGCUUAACCGGGGGCGUGCAGGCGAUACGGGCAGACUUGAGUACUACAGGGGAGACUGGAAUUCCUGGUGUAGCGGUGAAAUGCGCAGAUAUCAGGAGGAACACCGGUGGCGAAGGCGGGUCUCUGGGUAGUAACUGACGCUGAGGAGCGAAAGCAUGGGUAGCGAACAGGAUUAGAUACCCUGGUAGUCCAUGCCGUAAACGGUGGGCGCUAGGUGUGGGGUCCUUCCACGGACUCCGUGCCGUA